UUUUUAUCGUCAUUCAUUAUAAAAUUGUAGACAUUUGUUUAUUUUGAUACAUUUUUGUGUUUGGGAUUGGUAUUGGUUUGGGUUCUGAGAUUUUCAGUGAUAUGAUAUGGUUUUCCAGUGAAGUUGUAAUUGCACCUUUAUUGUGUGUUUAUUGGUUUAGGUCUUUCCUAUAUAUAUAUGUGAUUAUGUGAGUAUUUAGGCUAUAGAAAGAGGGUUAUGGAUACUGAUGUGAUGGAUUUGUUUACAAAUAAAACAGUCAAGAAUUACAGAGUACAUUGAAAAAUUUUGGAGAAGGGUUUUGGGUGAAGAUAAAGAGUGAAAGAGAUCUAGAGAUAGGGAGUGAAAUGGGGUCCAUUGUUUGUAUAAGUGAUUUGUUUGGUGGUUAUUCUGUGAUUUGUGUAAUGAGUAAUUGUAGUAUUGCAGACAUUACUAGUAAAAUAUGAAGACAUUACACUAAAAUAACUUCAACGAGAGCUUUGUUACCUUUUAAUAUUAUUUCUUUUUUAUGCUUAUUGAGUUUUUAAAUGAUUGAAGUUGUAAUAUGCUAGAGUUGCUCAUGCCUAAUCAAUUUGAAAGUCUUGGAGCCAAGCAUCAGUAAUUUGCAUAUAAAUGUUGCCAAGAGAAAAGAAUGUACUUUACUUUUGAGUGAAAUGAAAAGAACAGUCUUUUGAUAACAUGAUAACAUGAUCUGUCUUAGUUGCCUACUUUGUGAAAGAGCUAUGGUGUAAGCAUUUUAAUUAUUGAGAAAUUUUUUAGCACAAUACGAUGUGAGCCAUAUUAUGAAACUCUAAUUUCUGUGUGCAGAUUUAUGAUUUACUAAAAGAGAAUCACGUGGUUUGUCUUGUAUGCAGCUUUAAGUAUCCAUGCUUAUAUGUCUUUUAGCUUUAAAGUUAUUGUAUUCUUUGUUAUUUCUCUCUGAUAAUGCUUGAAUGGUAUGUUGCUAGCCUUUAUGUCAACAUACUCUGUUUUGUGGAAAUAAAAUUUGGAAUGAAAUGUUUCUCCUCCCUUUGUUUACCUUUAUAUCAAACAAUAGCCCCAUCUUACCUUGUGUCUAGGCCUAACCCCAAGUUUCAAUCCGGGGAUUAUUCUGCAAGUGGUUCUUACUUCAAUUAAGGAUUGCGGCUUAAAUUGAUUUUUUUGGGUCUUCUCAGCCAAAACUGGAGAUGCUACCAUCAUCCACUGUUCUGUCUCUCGCCGGUGCUGGCACCGUUCUGACGGUGAUUUUUUCCGGCGAAUUGGGUCAUCUCAAAGCCAAGUGUUCUCCCAGACCCAGAAAGGUUUUCAGCCGUUGGUGCAUAAAGGAGCUUUAUUUACAGCAACACUCCAUCAAUGGUUUCAAGUCCAAGAAGCAAAACUCACUUUCAAGCUUCGCAUUCGGUAAAAAAGCCGAAGACAGCUUUUUCUUGGAUGUAAAUGAAGACACAGAUGACAUGUAUGAAGAUUUAAUUAAUAAUUAUGGAAAAGUGGUAUUUAGUAGAAAAGAUAAAAAGCCUGCUAGCGCAGAGAUUGAUGAUGAUGCUGAAAGCCUGUCAUUUGCUAUGGAAUUGGCUUCGGUUGCAAGCGAGGUUAAGGCAGCAGAUAUAAAGGUCUUGUUUGUGAAGCCACUUGUUUACUGGACCCGAAUUUUUAUCAUAGCUACAGCAUUUUCCCGUCCGCAGAUUGAUGCUAUCGGGUCCAGGAUGAGAGAUCGAGCUGAGAAAAAAUAUGGAAAAAUUCCAACAGGAGAUACAAAGCCCAACUCAUGGACCCUGUUGGACUUCGUGAACAUGCUGUUGGCUCAACCCAUUUUCUUCUCUCCCAACUUUCCCACUCUCAUCAAGAAGACAAAUUUGAGAGCUUCACUUCAGCCCCACAACAAUUUUCCUCCUCUCAGAGUUUCACAAAUGCCAAAACCACUUGGUGUGAGAGCAAGACCCAAAACCCUGUUGGCUCCGCUUCAGAAAAAGAGUGGUGUCCAAAUUUGCCAUAGCUUCAAGAAAGAGAGCGAAGUUGGUGGGAAUGACGAAAGAGACUGGACAACCUCCUUUUUGCUCUUUCUCCUGUGGGCAGCACUCAUCUACUAUGUCUUCUUUCUCACCCCAAACCAGACCCCGUCAAGGGAUUUAUAUUUCCUGAAAAAGCUCCUGAAUCUGAAAGGGGAUGAUGGUUUCAGAAUGAAUGAAGUGUUAGUAUCAUUGUGGUAUAUAAUGGGCUUGUGGCCAUUGGUAUAUAGCAUGCUCUUGCUUCCUACAGGAAGAAGCUCAAAAAACAGUAUUCUUGUAUGGCCCUUCCUGAUACUUUCAUGUUUUGGAGGUGCAUAUGUACUUCUUCCUUAUUUUGUACUUUGGAAACCGCCAGCACCUCCUGUUGAAGAAACUCAGCUUAAAACAUGGCCCUUGAAUUUUCUGGAAUCAAAAGUAACUGCAUUGAUAUCACUUGUUGCAGGGGUAGCCAUCAUAAUUUAUGCUGGUUUAGCUGGACAAGAUGUGUGGAAAGAAUUUUACCAGUACUUUAGGGAAAGCAAAUUUAUUCAUAUUACCUCCAUUGAUUUUAUUGUACUUUCCACAUUUGCACCAUUCUGGGUAUACAACGACAUGACUGCACGAAAAUGGUUUGACAAAGGUUCUUGGCUUCUUCCCAUAUCAUUGAUACCAUAUUUAGGGCCUGGUUUGUACCUUCUCCUACGGCCAUCAUUAUCAGCAGUGUCCAUUUCGCAAACUCCUGUUGAACCAGAGUGAAAUUACAUGUGAUGACUGCCAAUAAUACAAGUGCACACUUUCUAUGCAACAAAAAUGGAUCUGGUUUCAAGUUUGGUUCAAGAAGGUUUGCUUAUGGUAAUUAGGAGAGAAUGAACACUAAUGGGAGUGGAUUAAGACAUGUCUACAUGGAAAGCAUAAAGCAUAAAACAUGUGUGAUGUGGAUGAGAGAGGAAAACAUAAAGCAUAACACAUAAAGCAACAUGAGCAUAUGGUCCUCCUUGUACCUUGGACGAAAUUCACACAAAGAGACCACCUAGUCUACUCCAUUUUUGUCAUCUUAUGUAUUAGGUUUAACCUAGUUUCUAGAGGCUAGAGUUUUGUAAUUGUUUAGCUACCCUUUUGCACUUUUGGUUUUUGUUUAGAGGCCCCUAGAACUUUCUAUUUAAGGGGUGCUCUUUGACAUGAAUGAUGGUUGAUCAAUUUGAGUAUUUUCUAUAUUGUUUCAACCACAUUUUCGUGAGCUUUUCCUCCAAGGAGUGGAGGUUCUCCUUUGCCUUGUCUUAAGUAAUCAAGUGACGACACAACAUCACUUAUCUCCAAGGGUUGGUUAGCCUUAUGGCCCCACUAUGAGUGGCAUGCUCCCUUGCUCCAUUACCAUCUUCUUAUGCUUCCAUAUUCUUCUUGUUUUCCUUCAUUUUAA